rnacentral:rRNA from 1 species
AUUGAACGCUGGCGGCAUGCCUUACACAUGCAAGUCGAACGGCAGCGCGGGGCAACCUGGCGGCGAGUGGCGAACGGGUGAGUAAUAUAUCGGAACGUACCCUGGAGUGGGGGAUAACGUAGCGAAAGUUACGCUAAUACCGCAUACGAUCUAAGGAUGAAAGCAGGGGACCGCAAGGCCUUGUGCUCCUGGAGCGGCCGAUAUCUGAUUAGCUAGUUGGUGGGGUAAAGGCCACCAAGGCAUCGAUCAGUAGCUGGUCUGAGAGGACGACCAGCCACACUGGAACUGAGACACGGUCCAGACUCCUACGGGAGGCAGCAGUGGGGAAUUUUGGACAAUGGGCGCAAGCCUGAUCCAGCAAUGCCGCGUGAGUGAUGAAGGCCUUAGGGUUGUAAAGCUCUUUUGGCGGGGACGAUGAUGACGGUACCGCAGAAUAAGCCCCGG